GUCUUGUACUCACCGCCCGUCAAGUCAUGGAAGCUGAGGGCGCUCGAAGUCCCACAAGAAAGUGGGCCCAAGGCGAAAUCAGUGACUGGGACUAAGUCGUAACAAGGUAUCCGUAGGAGAACCUGCGGCUGGAUCACCUCCUUU
rnacentral:rRNA from 1 species